CCUACGGGAGGCAGCAGUGGGGAAUUUUGGACAAUGGGCGCAAGCCUGAUCCAGCAAUGCCGCGUGCAGGAUGAAGGCCUUCGGGUUGUAAACUGCUUUUGUACGGAACGAAACGGUUCUUUCUAAUAAAGAGAGCUAAUGACGGUACCGUAAGAAUAAGCACCGGCUAACUACGUGCCAGCAGCCGCGGUAAUACGUAGGGUGCGAGCGUUAAUCGGAAUUACUGGGCGUAAAGCGUGCGCAGGCGGUUAUAUAAGACAGAUGUGAAAUCCCCGGGCUCAACCUGGGACCUGCAUUUGUGACUGUAUAGCUAGAGUACGGUAGAGGGGGAUGGAAUUCCGCGUGUAGCAGUGAAAUGCGUAGAUAUGCGGAGGAACACCGAUGGCGAAGGCAAUCCCCUGGACCUGUACUGACGCUCAUGCACGAAAGCGUGGGGAGCAAACAGGAUUAGAUACCCUGGUAGUCCACGCCCUAAACGAUGUCAACUGGUUGUUGGGUCUUCACUGACUCAGUAACGAAGCUAACGCGUGAAGUUGACCGCCUGGGGAGUACGGCCGCAAGGUUGAAACUCAAAUGAAAUUGACGG
rnacentral:rRNA from 1 species